AUUAACUUAGUGCAACACGCUACAACAUAGAGAACACAGAAAAACAACUCAGAACCACUUGUACUCUUCACAGAUCCUUUGCCAUAGCAACUGACUGACAAAAGUUCUACUAGAUGGCAGAGCAGAGAUUACUUAACAUCUAUCAGGACUCGGCACCAAAAAACUCAAACAUUUUCCACACAAAGAACAGAAAAUUCAGUCCGCUUACAUCCUUGUGUUAAAAAGUCUUAUGGAAAAAAAACCCCCAAAACUAUCUACAGUAUGUUGAAGAUUGUGAACGCCUCACAGAGAGAGAUGAAGGGUUGAGAUUUUGUUUCGCCACCCAUCCAUCAUCAAGUCCUACAGAAAUCAAUGCAUAUUUAAGGUUUAGACUAAAAAUAUGCUUUUCAAACCAGAGGCAAAUGCCACACGAAGGAGAAAGCAGCAGCAGCUUCCCACCGCAGCCGAGGCUCCAUGAAUGAUGAGUAAUGGCGUAGGAGAGUGAGGUCAUUAUGGAGACGUGAAAGUUUGAAUCGGCGCACCGGAGGCUUCAUUUGUUCCGCAUUCACGCCUCUCUUUGACUACGAAAGUGCACACCUGACUCGCGGCUGGGGGAGAGAGGGUGACUGGCGCUUCUGCUCGUUUCCGCUUCGGCGUUUUGAAGAAGGAGCAGGCUGAACAAUUUGGAGACGGAUCUCUUCAAUGCUCCUCGAAAUGCUGGAUGUGUGAGGAGAGAUUUCUUUGCCCGCAGAGUUUCUCUCAGAAAGAAAAAAUUAAUAAAAUUGUGAUUAAACUUG